GUUUUAUAUACAACCUGUACUUAAUGUACUCCCUAGUACACAGAUAGAUCAACUACGUCAUAAUUAUUAUGUUGGCGGGACCGGGAACAAACUCACAGAAAUAUUGCUAGAAAGAAAGCUACCUUCUCAGGCAUUUUUGGAGGAUGCAUACUCCAGUAUGCUGGAACUGCAUUGUAUUGAGAGUGAAAAGGAAGCUGAGAAAAUGGAUACAGAUUAUUUGUCAAGGAAAUCAAUCAAUCAACCAACUGCUUUCUUUAAGAU